rnacentral:rRNA from 1 species
UACGGGGGGAGCAAGCGUUGUUCGGAUUUACUGGGCGUAAAGCGUGCGCAGGCGGUUUUGUAAGUCUGAUGUGAAAUCCCCGGGCUCAACCUGGGAAUUGCAUUGGAGACUGCAAGGCUAGAAUCUGGCAGAGGGGGGUAGAAUUCCACGUGUAGCAGUGAAAUGCGUAGAGAUGUGGAGGAACACCGAUGGCGAAGGCAGCCCCCUGGGUCAAGAUUGACGCUCAUGCACGAAAGCGUGGGGAGCAAACAGG